GUUUGUUUGGACACCGAGGGCCGAUCCGGCGGAUUCAUCCGCUGGCGCAGGCUCGGGACUUGCGCUCCCCAUUGUGGGAGGUGAGUACCAUGAGUGCACCUGGUAGUACCCGAAAGAUGGUGAACUAUGCCUGGCCAGGACGAAGCCAGAGGAAACUCUGGUGGAGGUCCGUAGCGAUUCUGACGGCAAAUCGAUA
rnacentral:rRNA from 1 species